GGGAAGUGAAAAGAACUUGAAGAGAGAGUUCAAAAGGGCGUGAAACCGCUUAGAAUAAAACGGACGGAGCCGUCCGGAGCCUUCGGGAAUCAGUCGAAAUUUGAAUGAAAAUUCGAUUUGUUUUCUAGAACGCAAGUCUAGUCGAGUCAAUAGUAGUUUAGUUUCGACGCAUUUCUCGUUGGUAUGCACUGCGACCGAUACGAAAGGCCGACGAAGCGUCGUCGAUUGAGGUCGACCUACCCGUUAAACGGUUAGUCGUUUCCAGUCUCGACGCCUCGAGUCGUCGGACCGCAGUAUGUAUCGAGCGUCCCGUAUAAAAUGAAUGUCGGCUGUAAAAUAGGGCUCGUUCGCAUAAUGGAUAGUUGGUUCCAAUUGGUCGGUUACUUGCUUGCAGGUACCGAUGGUUGGUGAUUAAUUUAGAAGUUAUCAACGACUCUUUGAUAUUCGGGCGUCUGCAGUGUCAGUGUCGGCCACCCGUCCGACCCGUCUUGAAACACGGACCAAGGAGUCUAACAUAUGCGCGAGCCAUUGAGUGUUUAAAACUCACAGGCGCAAUAAAAGUAAACGAAGUCUCCGACUUCCAAGAUACGAUCCUUUAUUACUCCGUUAAACGAGUACUUUAGGCGCAGUAUCGUCCCGUCCCGAUCGCAUAUCGAUAGGGCGGAGAUAGAGUGCAUACGUUGGGGACCCGAAAGAUGGUGAACUAUGCCUGAGCAGAGCGAAGCCAGAGGAAACUCUGGGUGGAGGUCUCGUAGCGGUUCUGACGUGCAAAUCGAUCGUCAGACUGGGUAUAGGGGCGAAAGACUAAUCGAACCAUCUAGACG
rnacentral:rRNA from 1 species